AUAAUAGAUUGAAAAGUUUGGAUUCUAAAAACAAAACGUAUAAAGAUGUAUAAUUAAAAGGGCCUAUAUUGGAUGGAGAUAAAGAUGUAUAUGGCGGAACCUGGGGACCUUGGGGUCUGCUUGGGAAAAAUCAAGGGUUCGUGGUGAAACUGGUGUCCUGUUUGAAGAUAUGGCCCAUGAUCCAUGCUGGACACUGACUUUAAGCUAGUGGGAUAAAGUCAGCCACCUAGGUCACCAUAAGAAAGGAACGUUUGAGUUUAUCUCAGACUCCGGCUUGAUGGUGUCAAGACUGAAGGUUUCAGACUCCAUCUACCCCUCAGAGCCAUCAGAUAUUUGCAGCUUUAAGGGAGGAAAGGUGAGACAUGGUUAGGUUAAGUGGGGUUUCAGUUGAUUCUGGAAUAUUUAUAAACAAAGGUCACCAAGGUUUCCAAGCAACUAUAAUUGAAAUGUAUUAUUUUUAAAACUAUUCACAAUUCUUUGUGGGUUAUCUUAGCAUAAUAACUUAUAUAACUUAUUAAAAGAUAUUACAAUAAUUAUUACGUGUAUAAUUUAAUAUAGUGUAGUAUAUAACAAUAAUUUAGUAUAGCGACACCAAACAUCAAAAGAAAAUUGACUUACUACCUUUCAGAAAGUGUAUAAAAGAUUAGAAGAUAUCUCUCCAAAUGCAGGUUUUGAUAUUUAUCGCUCAACUAGUAAUUAGCUAUUAGCUGGUUCACAAAUGGCCCUGUUUCCCCUUACAAAAUCAGUCUGACCAGAUUUUUUUAUCGCAGAGUCAAAAAUGUUUUCAACCUGCUUUGAGAAAAUGAAAUGAUAUUCGUGGAAACCAACGUGGUUAUAAAUCCAUGAUGUCCCAUGAAGUCUAGAAGAGGUAAUGUCCACUAGUAGGCUUAGCUGGCAGCGCUAGAUGUUAGGGUGUACUCUGGAUUUUGGGCACCAAGACUCAAUAAGGAGUCAAAAGUCACAUCUGUUUUAAUCAAUUUUCUACUAUUAAUGUCAUUCUAGAGAUUUUUUAUUCAAUCUAAUAAUUAUUAAAAUUUGUAAUGAAGUUUUUGAUAUUUUGAUAUAUUUUAUAUGUAUAAAAUAUUCGCGAUUAAUCAUGAAAUUUCCCCUCACAUAUGAUUUUUAAAUUUAAGGCUUUUCAAAUAAAAAUUUGUAUAUGCAUUUUUAUCAUUAAAAUAUUGUUUGUUUUUGAUCAAUGUGAUUUUAGAAAAGAAUUUAAUAUGAUGAUGAAUAUUUAUAAAUGACUGCGGCGUAUAAUUAUAAAGCUAUACAACCAGUUUAACCGCAUAAGUUUCUUUUUAUUUAUGAAAAAUCAUUUUUAAUUUCAAAGAGAAAUAAUUUAAUAUUUCUAACUUUUGGAUGACGUAUGAAAAGGUUGAAUAUAUGAAGAGUGAUGGUCUAUAUAUGAAUGGAUGACGUAUGGAGGGUGAAAAAUAUGAAGAGUAAUGGCGAACGAAAAAAUAAAAGUGUCCAGGAGCGGGAAUCGAACCCACAACCUUCUGCUUACCGGGCAGGUGCCAUGUCCACUAGGCUAUCCUGGACGAUAUUUCUCCGUUCAUAACUAAUAUUUAAACUGACUAAUAAUACUUAUAAAUGACUGCGGCGUAUAAUUAUAAAGCUAUACAACCAGUUUAACCGCAUAAGUUUCUUUUUAUUUAUGAAAAAUCAUUUUUAAUUUCAAAGAGAAAUAAUUUAAUAUUUCUAACUUUUGGAUGACGUAUGAAAAGGUUGAAUAUAUGAAGAGUGAUGGUCUAUAUAUGAAUGGAUGACGUAUGGAGGGUGAAAAAUAUGAAGAGCAAUGGCGAACGGAAAAAUAAAAGUGUCCAGGAGCGGGAAUCGAACCCACAACCUUCUGCUUACCGGGCAGGUGCCAUGUCCACUAGGCUAUCCUGGACGAUAUUUCUCCGUUCGUAACUAAUAUUUAAACUGACUAAUGAAUAUAUUGAUUUUUAACAUUUUGCUGCUACCUUUUAAUAAAAUAUCUCCAAAUCUCUAUACAUGCCUUAAAAGAUGGGGGCCAGUGGCUCCUGCAAACCACAAAUUUAUUCAUCUAUAUCACAUGUUUAGACCUAAAUCUAUACAGGCUAGCAAAAAGUGUUAAAGGGGAAAUCAACUACUCCUUUUCGGCAAACAGAUUUUAUUCAGAGACUAAUAAAAAAAUCUAUAUAUACAUAAUUGAAUAUAAAUAGGAACAAAAUGGUUUAAAUUAAAAAUAUAUAUGCGGUAACCGAGAGGGCAAUCAGGUGAGGAGAGCUUUCCAAAAUACUCUUUGCACCUUGGAAGACCUUUCACAGAGUACAGGCAGUCAUGGUCGAGGCAGAAUGGAAGACUUGGGAUGGUCCACACAAAGAAUGAAGGACAAAGUUGCAAUGGGAAAAGUUCCGUGAACAGAUAGAGUUUAGCUAAGCAGAAAGAUGGAGAUUAAGUGGAGCAGAGUUCUUACUUGUCUAUGGUGGCAUGGUCAGCUUCUACGAAUCGACUGACGAGGGCUCGCGCGGACUUGGAAGUGGCGAUGGAUUUCUUACUUUUUAUGAGUUUAUAUAGUCCCAAAGGUGCGCGGAAGUAUCUUCCUUCAUGUGACGCAAUACUGGGGUACCAAGAAGAAGUGGUCAUGUACCCUCUUCGACCUUCUGACAUCUUUAAGCCUCGUUCAACAUGUUGUUAGAUUUCUAUAUUUAACUUUCUGCUAUUUAUCUCAACUAUUCUUCUAUUACACAGCUUUAUUUUAUUAUCUUCAGUUUGUACAGAGUACAUUACAUAUUGUGAGGCAAUGGUUCAUGUUUAAAAUGCUUAAAAUUAGUUGUGAGGUGUUUCUAUUAUUCAACACGUUUUUCAUGAUAUAAUAUUAUUAUAUUACACCAAUACUAGUUGUUGGUUUAAGUUAUCAAAUAUAUAUGUAUUGAAAACAAAAAAAAAGACAUCCUGACCGCUCACUUGAGCUUUUUAGAUGGCAGAGCGCCAUCUAGUGGAACAGAAAUCAACUAAAUGAAGAUAUUUGGCCAACCCAAAAUGCUCAUGUGAGCGGUUAGGAUAUGCCAAUUUUGUUUUUUAGAGAUCAUCACCUGACCAUUUUAUAUAUUUUUUCUUAGUUUUCACACAUUAAAUUACAAAAAAUUAAUUUGGAAUAUCCUGAUCACUAACAUGAGCGUUUUUCAGAUGGCAUAGCGCCAUUUAGUGGAACAAAAAUCAACUAAACGUUGAUUUAACCUGUUCCCUGAUAUUUGAAUUACCCAUUUUUUUUUAUAAAUCAAGAAAAGCCAACUACUAUAUGGAGCUCUGCCAUCUAAAUUUGAGAGGUCGGGAUAUGCCUAUUUUGUUUUUAAAUAUCAACAUCUGACCUUUUAUCUAUUUUUAAAAAUUAUUUUUCUCAUAUAUAUAUGUACAAGGCUCAAAGGGAGGUUUAAAAAUAUAGCCACAAAAAUAAAUAAAUAAAAGGACUAUGCCCACAAAAGCAUCAUAAAAAAUUUAGUCCACGAAAUCUUAUUAUUCAGCAACCCAUGUCCAAAAUUGGAAAAGGGCGGCCAGAGCCCCAGCCAGGCCAUCUGUGCAGAGUAUUAAGCUCAGAGAUUGAGAGCUCUGAGAAGAAAAGGAAUAAGACUCUGCUAUUAUUAUAUUAUUAUUAUAUUCUGUAUAUUUAGAUAGUUAUUAAAAGAAUUUGUUUAGCCAAGCUGGUAUUUUGUCCUGACUGACAACACAUGGUGGCAGCGGUAAACUAAUUUCUUAAAGAAAGUCGUUCGAAAAGCAUUUGAAACUCGACAUCAAGUAAACUCGCAGCGGUAAACUAAUUUCUUAAAGAAAGUCGUUGUUCGAAGAAAAUUUGAAACUCGACAUCAAGCAAACUCGCAGCGGUAAAUAGAAUUCUUAAAGAAGAUCGUUGCUCGAAAAAAAAUAAUAUUUGAAAUUCGACAGUAAGCAAAUUAUAAAAUAAUUUAAAUAUAAUAUCAAAAUAAUUAUUUUCGGAAAUUAAAAAACUAAUAUAUAUUAAAAUAUAAAAAAUAUCAAGUAUAUAUUUUUAUAUUUACAUUUUAAACUAUCAAAAUAAAAUAAUACGCCCUUUUUGUUAUUUAUGUUGUUCUUGUGUCUAUUUGAUCACGCAGAAUGCAACUGAACUAAGUAUUUAUUUAUUAACAUCUAUUUUUUAUAACAUGGUUAUAUAUCUAAGAGUGUUUUUAAGUCGAGUCGGCAGUGUUGCCGGAUCAAUCAUAACAUGUUUCCUUUAAACAAAAAUAAAAAGGAUUGCAGUUCUCCUAGUCUCUAUAACGCAAAGGUUUUCUCACUGUUCUACCACUGCGGGUUCGCACACUAGGAGAAGUAGAUGAUUCUUCACCUUUCUUGGCAACGUUCUCCCUUGGAUCAUAUGCUCUUCUGUUUUCAGAAGUGGGUCUUCCGUGAUCUUGUAUGUUGUCAUCCAUGGCUGUCCCUGCUUGAGAUCCAGAAAUGCUAGGACUUUGAAUUGUUGGGGCAGAAUCUUCUACACUGAACUUUCUCGGUCUAAGGUGAGACCUGUUCCUGCGGUAUUCAGAACCACUUGGUGUUUUCACCAUAUAUGAGCGUGGAGUUUCAUGCUUUGCGGUCACUGUUGCCGGAACCCAUUUUCUAUGCCUUUCCUGCAACAUGAUGUUGUCUCCUACUUCCAAAGGUCUCAAAAUUCUCUUUGGACUUCCUGCAUACUUUUGUUGAUGGUCUCUCAAUUUUUGAUAAUUCUUUGUUGUGUCAAACAGUGGUUUCAACUGUUGUCGAGUGUAUGUCGAAAGAGUUCUCACAGAUCUUCCCAUAAGCAUUUGGGUCGGAGAUGGCAAGUCAUACUUAGGUGUGUUGUUGAACUCCAUCAAAGCCAGAUUGGGAUCUCUUCCUGACUUCACAGCUUUAAUUAUCAGUCCUUUGAUGGUUUGAAUUGUCCUCUCAACUUGUCCAUUAGAUCUUGGAUAUUUGGGACUGGAGGUUUGGUGUUUGAAUUCAUAUUUCUGAGCAAAAUUUUUGAAUCCAGUAGAGUUGAAAGGGGGUCCAUUAUCCGAAACUAGAGUUCUUGGAAUUCCAUGAGUCCUGAAAAUGGUUUUCAACUGCAUGAUGGUUUCGGUUUCUCUUUUGCUUGAUAAUUUCCGGAUUUCAACAAACUUUGAGUGGUAAUCGACAACCAAGAUGGAACUGGUUCCACUCACCUCCAUGAAAUCUACAGCAAUUUUUUCCCAUGGAAAUUCAGGGAUUUCAUGAGCUAUUCUUGACUCCUCAGGAUUCUUUCUUGAAUAUUCCUGACAUGUUCUGCACUUUUCCACUUCAUUUUCUACUUGUGUUAUCAUGCCGGGCCAGUAAAAUGCUGAUCUUGCUUUUUCUUUGGAAGCUGCUAUGCCCUGGUGUGAUGAAUGAACAACCUGCAGGAUUUCUUUUCGAAGAGUCGAUGGCACCAUGAUGCAAUUUCCUUUGUAAACAAUUCCGUCACUCACAUGAAUUUCAUCUUGAAAUUGCCAGUAGGGUUUUGCUUCAUCACAGACCUUAGUUUUAUAUUUCGGCCAUCCAUUCUUCGCAUACUCCAUUAGUUGUAUCAAGGUGUGGUCCCCAUGAGUUUCCUUUUGUAGUCUCUUUAUUUUUUCAUCUGUGGUAACCAGCAACAUGUGCACUGAUUCAGUUUGACCUUCUAAAUAGCUUGUGUCCACCUCAUCUUUUAAUGGAUCUCUAGACAGAUGGUCAGCUACAAACAUGUUUUUCCCUGGUGUAAACUUCAAAGAUAUUUGAAAUCUCAUCAGACGUAAGACCAUUCUUUGCAGUCUUGGGGAAAGCUUUUCUAAAGGUUUCUUAACAAUACUCAGGAGAGGUUUGUGGUCAGUUUCCACAAUAACAUCAUUUCCCCAAAUAUAGUACUGGAAGCGUUCACAUCCAAAGACUAUAGCCAAAAGUUCUUUCUCUAUCUGUGCGUAUUUUCUUUGAGUUGCAUUCAGGCUGAAGGACGCAUACUCAAUUGCAUGUCCCCCUUGCAUGAGCACUGUACCAAUACCAUAUUGGCUUGCAUCAGAUGAAAUGGUGAUUGGCUUGGUUGGGUCAAAAAAUGUCAAUAUUGGAGCAUUCGAAACCAUUUCCUUGAGUUUUUCAAAACAAUCAUUUUCUUCGCCUCCAAAUUUCCAUUCACUCUUGUUGCUUAUCAAUUUCCUUAGAGGUGCAGUCUUGUCAGAAAGAUUAGGAAUGAAUUUGCCAAGGUACGUUACCAUACCUAAGAAUCUUUGGACUUCAGUCUUGUUCUCAGGUCUUUUCAACUUUUGUAUUGCCUCUGCUCUUGAAGCUUGAAUGGCUAUUCCAUCUCGACUGAUUAUAUGGCCUAAGAAAUUUACUUUGUCGACAGCUAUCUGCUGCUUCUUAGCAUUGAGCUUGACAUUAUUUUCUUCCAACCUUCGAUGAACUGUUUCAAGGUUUCGGUUGUGCUCUUCCAUUGUGCUUCCAUAGGUCAAGAUGUCAUCCAUAUAGCAAGCAGUUCCCUGGAGACCUGAAAGAAUAUUGUUUAUGCAUCGCUGGAAUACCUCCGAUGCACUGUUCAAUCCAUAGGGAAGUCGCUUGAACCGGAAUCUUCCAAAGGGAGUCGCAAUGGUGCACAGGUUGGUGCUUUCUUUGUCUAAUGGGAUUUGCCAGAAAGCUGAUGAUGCAUCAAAUACAGAGAAAACUGUAGCACCUUUCAGUUCAGAAAAUAUUGUUUCAGCUGUUGGCAGAAUAUAGCGCUCUCUCUGAACAUAUUUGUUCAAUUCCCUGGGGUCCAUGCAAAUUCUGACAUUUCCAGAAGGUUUUUGUACCACUACAAUAGGGUGUGUCCAUUCGCUUGGUUCUUCAACUUUUUCAAUAAUGUCAAGUUUUUCCAUCCGUUCCAAUUCUGCUUUAACUUUUUCUCUAAUGGAAAAAGGAAUUUUUCUGCUUGGAGCAAUAACUGGAGUUGCAUUUUCUUUUAGUCUAAUCUUGUGUUCAAUUGGCAGUCUUCCUAUGCCUUCAAAUAUAUUUUUGUGCCUGUUCAAAAUUUCUUUUGCUGAAUUGUUUUGCUCUGUUUGGACAGCAUCACAUUUCUUAAUUAGUGAAAGCUUUUCAAUAGCUUCUAUUCCUAAAAUUGGUUGAUAGUAUCCAUCAGCAAUGAAAAAUUCUAGACUUUCCGUCUUAUUUUUAGUUUUGCAAUUUAGUGUGGCAAUUCCUUUUAUCUUGAUUUCAUGUCCUGUAUAUGAUGUUAGCUUUCGGUUAGUCUGAAAUAUUUCCAAACCUUUCAUUUGUCUGGUGAAUGUGUAUGGCAAAACAUUUACUUCUGCUCCAGAGUCCAACUUGAAACAUAUUUCCUUUCCAUUCACUAUGAUGGACUUUUUCCAUUCCAAAGUAUGGACUACUUUUGCUUCAUGUAUUGACCAUACAGUUUCUUCUGUUUCAUCAUUCAGACUUCUGAUAGCUGAACCUUUACAGAAAGCUGCAAAAUGAUUCAUCUUUUUGCAUUUGGAGCAUCUUUUACCCCAUGCAGGACAAUUUUUUGCUCUGUGAGACUUUCCACACCUUUGGCAUUUGAAUUCUUUUUCAGAUUCUUGAUUUUGUUUUGGACUGUGUUUCUUUUCAUAUUUUCUUAUUUGACAAAUGUUCUGGUUGUUCUGCAUGAUCUUGAUCUGUUGCUUGCUUAUUUCAUCUGUUUUGCACAUUUCAAUGGCUUUUAUAAGAGUUAAAUUGGGCUCUCUUAAGAGGCGUUCCUGCAAAGCCUUGUCUUGUAUUCCAUACACAAUGCGAUCCCUUAUUAAACUAUCCUUUUGUGAUUCAAAUUCACAUGAUGUGGAUAAUCCUUUUAGUUCUGUUAUAAAACUAUCGAUGGAUUCACCAUCCUUCUGGGUCGCUGAAAAAAAUUUGAAUCUUUCAAAAAUGACGUUCUUUUUAGGCUCGCAAAAAUCAUCAAAUUUGUUUAUUACAAGAUCGAAAUUUUCUGCUUCAUCUUCUUUUAAAUGAAAUGUGUUGAAAACUUCCAAGGCUUCUUCGCCAAUAAAAUUUAAUAAAAUGGCAACUUUCAGUUUAUCAGGCUUUGUGGCUUUUUCUGUUGCUUCAAGAUAAAGCAUUAAUCGCUGUUUGAACCUUCGCCAAUUUUCCGCUACAUUUCCGUGCAGGGCGAGUUCGCUAGGCCUAACAAAGUCCAUGUUUUCUUUUUUUCACUAAUAUUUUUCAAUAAUAUAUUUAUUUGAAAAAGUACUCACUUUUCCGCUGCCACCAUGUUAUUUAUGUUGUUCUUGUGUCUAUUUGAUCACGCAGAAUGCAACUGAACUAAGUAUUUAUUUAUUAACAUCUAUUUUUUAUAACAUGGUUAUAUAUCUAAGAGUGUUUUUAAGUCGAGUCGGCAGUGUUGCCGGAUCAAUCAUAACACUUUUUAAAUCGAUAUAACUCCAUUUUAAAAAUAAUUGCUCAAAAUAAUUUAUUUUAACGCCUAAAAACGACAUAUUAUUAAUUAUAAAUUUUAAUAUUUAUAAAUAAAAUAAUUAUUAAUAAAAAUAUAUUCAUAAUAAUAUAAUAAUAAUACAAUAAUAACAGAGGCUUAUUCCUUUUCUUCUCAGAGCUCUCAAUCUCUGAGCCUAAUACUCUGCACAUCUCCUCUCUUACUUUUACAAGAAUCUUUGAGGUUUCUUGACCACCCUUCCAUAUCUUGUCUGCACUACUGGCGUUGAAGGGAGGCUCCUCUCUUGAUCCUGGUCUUGGUUUUCCUUCUCUUGUAGGUGAGGUUUUUGAUGCCGGGCAAUCCUCCGCAAUCCUCCUCGGUCUCCUGGUCCAAAGAGCCAACUGAGUGGUGUGCGGGAAUGGUUGCAGUACCUAAACCAGGAGGGAAAUUAAGAAUUUGUGUUGAUUUAACAAAGCAAAAUCAGUAUAUAAGAAGAGAAAAUUAUCCACUACCGGCAACAGAGCAUACCCUUGAAAACAGUUGGAAUGAUCCACUUGAUACUUCAAAAUAAAGGCCAGCACUUAAACUCGAAAAUAUACAUUGUUGAUAAACUGAAACAACCACUUCUCUCUAGGGAGACAAGCGAGAAAUUAAAUAUUGUGAGAAUGAUUCAGCAAUUAUCAUCGAAUCCUUUUAACCCAAAAAGAGAGUUUCCAAAAUUAUUUAGUGGUUUAGGACAUGCUAAAAUAAAUUACAAAAUAUCCCUACAACCUGAUGCGAAACCAUAUGCCUUGUGCACCCUUAGGAGAGUUCCAAUUCCCUUAAUGAAACAGUUGAAGGAACAACUUGAAGAGAUGACCAGGCUAGGAGUCAUUGAAUCAGUAGAAGAGUCAACUGAGUGGUGUGCGGGAAUGGUUGCAGUACCUAAACCAGGAGGGAAAUUAAGAAUUUGUGUUGAUUUAACAAAGCUAAAUCAGUAUAUAAGAAGAGAAAAUUAUCCACUACCGGCAACAGAGCAUAUCCUGGGACAGCUUGGAAAUGCUUGCUAUUUUUCCAAGCUAGAUGCAAAUUCUGGAUUUUGGCUGUUCGGGUUAGCUAAAGAAUCCCAAAAACUAACCACUUUUAUAACGCCAUUCGGCAGGUUCCUCUUCAAAAGAAUCCCAUUUGGAAUAUCAUCAGCACCAGAAAUCUUUCAAAGAAAGAUGACUCAGCUUCUGGGCAAAAUAGAAGGGGUGGUAUGCUUCAUGGAUGAUAUUGUUGUAUACAGAUCCUCCUUAGAAGAACAUAACGAAAGGGUACGCCAAGUUUUGAAGAAACUUCAAGAAGAAGGAAUGACACUCAACCCAGAAAAGUGCCAAUUUGGAGUUAAAACUAUAAAAUUCCUGGGACAGACAAUUAGUUCAGAAGGCUUAUUCAUUGACGAAGAAAAGCUCGACGCUGUUAUAAAAAUGGAAGAGCCUAGAUCAGCAAAAGAAUUGAAGUCUUUCUUAGGCAUGGUGAAUUACUUGGGAAAAUUCAUUCCCAACCUUGCGGACAAAAUACAACCUUUGAACUCAUUAUUAAGCACAAAAAAUGAGUGGGUUUGGGGGGAACCUCAGAAAAAGAGCUUUAAUCUACUGAAGCAAGAAUUGGCAUCCAGACCAAAUCUAGCCUUAUAUAAUCCCUCAAGACUGACCAUAAUAUCAGCUGAUGCCAAGAUACUUGGACUCCAAAGCCUUGCAAUAAAGAGAGAAAAGGAGGAUGAUCAACCAGAAGCGUCUAUAUGAUAAACGACAUGACGUACAUAGCUUGCCUCAGCUUCAACAGGGAGACAGCAUUUGGAUUAGAGAUCAAAGGGUAGAAGGGAAAGUUCUACACAAAUCCCAAGAACCUCGCUCCUAUUGGGUACAAACUCCUCAAGGAAAAGUUAGGCGAAACAGGCUUCACCUCACACGCCUGCCAACUACGGAAAGUACCAUGGAUGCUCCUGAAGAUAGUCGGCGCCAGGAGCUGAGGAAUAAGGAGGCCCCCCCUUCGACAUCAACAGGGCAAACAAGGAAAUGCAAGGACGACCAGGAGACCGAGGAAAAUUGCCCGACAUCAAAAACCUCACCUACAAGAGAAGGAAGGACGCGGAGUGAAAACCAAGACCAGGAUCAAGAGAGGAGCCUCCCUUCAACGCCAGUAGUGCAGACAAGAUAUGGAAGGGUGGUCAAGAAACCUCAAAGAUUCUUGUAAAAGUAAGAGAGGAGAUGUGCAGAGUAUUAGGCUCAGAGAUUGAGAGCUCUGAGAAGAAAAGGAAUAAGACUCUGCUAUUAUUAUAUUAUUAUUAUAUUCCUUAUAUUUAGAUAGUUAUUAAAAGAAUUUGUUUAGCCAAGCUGGUAUUUUGUCCUGACUGACAACAC